UAUAUACAUUGCUUGUUUGUGUAAUAAGCACUAUGUGUCAUAUAUGAAAUCAUGGUUCACGGGCUAAUGUAGUAUUCAUAAUACAAAAUGUCAGUGGGCGGUGUGUUAAAAUAUACCCUGAUGAUCAGAAAGCAGUCCACUCCAGGGUCUACAAGAUUACCUAACAAGCAGGGCAGUGUGAAUAACGCCGGCAUUUUCCUUGUGAUUUCUAUGUUUAGUCCCAGGAAUUUGGAGACUUGAAGGGUGAAAUGUAAGUAACGCUCCCAAUUUAGGUCUGUGCCUGAGCAGCACAUGACUCCACGGUACGGUAUGAAGACAGAAUCAUAAAUAUUACCGGGGCAGGAUUGUCUGUAGAGCCUAAUCCUUUAAACUGUAAUUUAAAAAGUGAUGUAUAGGUCAAAGUGAACGACUGGCCAGUGUCAUUCUGGUCCUGUGUGUGUGUGUGUGUGUGAGAGAGAGAGAGAGAGAGAGAGGAUGGCUGUUGAGGUAAAAGAAAAAUGCUGAAGUUUGCUAGUUCUGUUACACUUAGUAAAUUAUAUUCAUAAACUGGUGCAAUUAUAAGAAUAUCAAAAUAUUCCUUUAAAAAUUCCUCUGAUGUCCAAUUAAAAUGUAGUUAUUGAAAUUCCUCUAAAUUAAAGUAUCUUGUGAACUGGGAGUUGUAUCUUUUUUCUUCUUUUUUUCCUGGCGGAUGAUCUCUUCUCACUUAGCCCACAGAAACAGGUGGUAACAAUUUAGUCACAAACUUCCGUUUUCUCCAGUGGGAAUGAACGUGAAUGAAAACACGUUGGUUCAUUAAACAUUGUGGUAAACACGUCGGUUCAUUAAUUCCCUAAUUUCUAACGCGAGUAAUUUUAAAUCAACUAAUCGCUGCGUUAUAAAUUCAGAAUAAAUCUUUACAGAACUCGCUGAAUAUUUAGUUGCACGUAGUUCCAAGUAGCCAAGAGAAGCGUCUGACGUCAGUAGAUUUGCAGAGUCAUCAACCCUCCUUAACUUGACCGUUUCGAAUAAAACUAUAAACCAUCGCUAUAAACACACGCAUCACGGGUGCAAACACCUGCUACAACUUGACCGAUAACGCAGAAUUACCAAGCAUUUUCCGCGCUUGUAAAAAAGAAUCAAGGACCAACGCUUUCUGCGACAGCCGUGGUAUGGUGAAUUCGUGGUCUCUAUCCAUUCAUCCAUCCAUUAUCUGGAGCCUUCCCAGCAUGCAUUGGAGAGGCAGGAUUACAACCUGGACGGGCUGCCAAUCUAUCGCAGAUCAAGUCUCUAUAACAGUGGAAAUUCAGUGAUGAAAUGCUGCGUAUUUGUAUUUAAUUGAUCUGCCAUGUAAACAAUAAAUUACUCCAUUGUGUGAAAACUUG